rnacentral:rRNA from 1 species
GAGUUUGAUCCUGGCUCAGGAUGAACGCUAGCGGCAGGCUUAAUACAUGCAAGGCGAAGGGGCAGCAAUGUCACUGUCGUACGGGUGCGUAACGCGUAUGCAACCUACCUUUUACUGGGGGAUAGCCCGGGGAAACCCGGAUUAAUACCGCAUAACACAUUUAUAUCACCUGAUAUUUAUUGUUAAAGAUUUAUUGGUAAAAGAUGGGCAUGCGUUCGAUUAGCUAGUUGGCAGGGUAACGGCCUACCAAGGCUACGAUCGAUAGGGGAGCUGAGAGGUUGAUCCCCCACACGGGCACUGAGAUACGGGCCCGACUCCUACGGGAGGCAGCAGUAGGGAAUAUUGGGCAAUGGAUGCAAGUCUGACCCAGCCAUGCCGCGUGCCGGAAGAAGGCCCUCAGGGUUGUAAACGGCUUUUAUUCGGGAAGAAGAGCAGGGAUGCGUCCUUGUGUGACGGUACCGAAUGAAUAAGCACCGGCUAACUCCGUGCCAGCAGCCGCGGUAAUACGGAGGGUGCGAGCGUUGUCCGGAUUUAUUGGGUUUAAAGGGUGCGUAGGUGGCUAAUUAAGUCAGUGGUGAAAUACAGCCGCUCAACGGUUGAGGUGCCAUUGAUACUGACUAGCUUGAAAUAAUUGGAGGCUGCCGGAAUGGAUGGUGUA